rnacentral:rRNA from 1 species
AAAACUCAAAGGAAUUGACGGAGCCCGCACAAGCGGUGGAGUAUGUGGUUUAAUUCGACGCAACGCGAAGAACCUUACCCAGGUCUUGACAUUGAUGGACAGAACUAGAGAUAGUUCCUCUUCUUCGGAAGCCAGAAAACAGGUGGUGCACGGUUGUCGUCAGCUCGUGUCGUGAGAUGUUGGGUUAAGUCCCGCAACGAGCGCAACCCUCGUGAUUAGUUGCUAACAGUUCGGCUGAGCACUCUAAUCAGACUGCCUUCGUAAGGAGGAGGAAGGUGAGGACGACGUCAAGUCAUCAUGGCCCUUAUGGCUAGGGCUACACACGUGCUACAAUGGCUAGGACAAAGAGACGCGAUACUGCGAAGUGGAGCAAAUCUUAAAACCUAGUCUCAGUUCGGAUUGGAGUCUGCAACUCGACUCCAUGAAGCUGGAAUCGCUAGUAAUCGUAGAUCAGAUAUGCUACGGUGAAUACGUUCCCGGGUCUUGUACUCACCGCCCGUCACACCAUGGGAGUUGAAUUCACCCGAAGCCGGAAUACUAAAUUAGUUACCGUCCACGGUGGGUUCAGCGACUGGGGUGAAGUCGUAACAAGGUAACCGUAGGAGAACCUGCGGCUGGAUCACCUCC